ensembl:lncRNA
GGCCGCGUCUAGCUUUCUGCCUCCCGUUUCCAGAAGGCCCAGGACCUUUCUGGAGAGAUGUUUAUACAGAGGGGAAGGGGGAUCCUUUUAGAAAAUGUAUGCCCCAAAGGGCACCGUCCCUUGGCGAUGCACCAUGAAUUUGACAUUGCGGCUUCCAAAGCCGCCUGACCAGGUUUCUGCUCACAAAGCAUUUCGCCUUCCAACGCAGGGAAAGCAGAAGUGGGACCCCUGAGGCCUCGGUUUCGCAACUCAAGUGUUUGUCUCUCCUCGUGAGCAGUGGGCACACUCCCUUCUCCUCGUGAGUGGUGGCCACAGCAUGGCCUCCUUGUCUCGGGGGAGGAGGGUCCAGAGUUUUGUUCUGGGGCCCACAGCCUCUGCUGCAGGGUCCGGAAGCCGGCAGACCCUGCUCUCCCACAGCCCCCCACGCCCCACCCCAUCUCCCGCUCUUCCCUGGGCUAAGCCUGCGAGCAGAAAUCACAGCGGCUGCCUUGUGGUCUUCCAGCAAUUUCCGUGACCCCCCCCCCGAAAGCCCUGGGACACCCACGGCACCCCAACAGGGCUUGGUCCUUGCUCCUGAGGUGCUAUCACUGAGCAAAGUGUGGCCACGGCCUCUUUCCAUUGAGGUGUCUUUUCUCUUCGCGGAAAGUCGGCGCCUCCCAGCCCUUAGCACAGUUCCCGGUUGGGCGGUGGGCGAGGGUGGCCUCCAGUUCCAAGAAAACUCUCAGGUGUGAGUGGUGGGGGCAGGGCCCGGAACCCGGGUCUCCAGAGGUGGCUUUGCCCCGGCAGGUGUCCUGGGCCUGGUCCCAAAGUCUCUGGCUUCCCUUCCCUGGGGUGAAGCAGGUGCGGGAAGGGCGGUGCCAGCCGGGACUUCCCCUGCCCAGGCGUCUCCCCUCCACGGCUACGGCGACUCCGCCAACCCUCCGCCUUCCUCCACGUGAGGAAGAAAGCCGGGACAAUUGUCCCCAACACCCGUGACCUCCAUCAUUCAAGGAGGCUCCGCCUGGGUGGUGGCUUUUUGGUCUAAGGAAAAAGUUAAAAGCUCAUAAUUGUCAAAGAAUGACCAGCGUGGUCAAAUAUUACAGUGUGACAACUCUUGUGGGGACUCCAGGGUCCCCAGAGAUGGUCAAGGUCCAGGAGGUGCAACGUCCAGCCACAAGUUCUACCACGUAGGAAACGGGGCCCCGAGGCCUGGCCUCUGAUGACUGGGCUGUGAGGCCCGGGGCGCACGCUGACGUGGGCAUGAAAUAGUGUCCAGUUACCAGCUUUUCUGGUCCUGGAUGUUUCGAGAUGCCCUGGGGCCCUCGGGGAAGGGUCGGGGGCGGGGGCGGAGAUGCUAUGACAGGCAGGAUGGGCUUCCUGGGUGUGUGACCCCUGUGGUCAGCGGGGCCCGGAGUGCUUGGUGUGAUGCGGGCUUCUCAAACCCACCCCCCCGUUUUUGUUUCGAGCUGCAGAUUCUGGAGCAGAUCAGGUGCUGAUGCCGCCUCUGUAGGCCAGGGACAGAUGGCAUGGGAAGGGCAGGGAACACUGGGCCCCACGGAAUGCAGGUGAAAGGGAGGGACAGUGGCAUUUGCACUCUGGGAGCGCAUCGGACAUCUAGAGCUGACAGGUUGUGGGACUUGGCAAUUCCCUGCGCUGGAAGCAGCUCAGACCCAGAGGGACAGGGAAAUCGGGCAGGAAGGAGGCGAGGCGGGGGAUGGUGGGAGGCCACACAUUUGAAACCACAACUUUCAAGGCAAGAAGAAGGUAAGUGAGCUCUCCUGUGACCCACCCGCUCUGCCCUUCAGCACCUGUGAUGCUUCCAGCACACGAAGCCAGGUGCCUGGACCCUUUCUUAACCUCUGAACUUGGCUGUGGUCUGUGGAUUCCAUCCACCUGGCUCUUGGCUCUGAGGGGAGCUGGCUGCGUCACUUUAAGGGUCACUGAAACCACGUGGGAUCCCUUAGGGUAGCUGUUUGUCAAGGGUGUCUGGCCCCAGGAGCUCUCGGGAGGCAGGAGGAUGGAAUUCUCCGGCCCCCGGGGCUGCAGGAGCGAAAGGACGCAGCAGCGAGGAGCCUGCUGGGCCGGCCGCGCACCUGUCUGACCAGCUCUUUUCAAAGCAGGGGCACCUGAGAGGCAGGUGGGGGGGCUCUGCGUGCCUGUGAGGUCAUCCUCUGGGCAGUGACUCAUCUUAUCUGCCUGGAACAGAGGAGGCUCAGGUUCAGGGCCCCGUGGCCGGCUCCCUCAGAGGGCCCCCCCCCGCCCCCGCCUGGGUGUCACCUGGGAAGCUGCCCGGGAGCCUGCAUGGAACUGAGUCGUCCCUGCUCCCCGGCAGUGCUUGGAGGCAGAUUCAGCGACUUUCUAAAAGACGCUCCAGUCUGGGAAAGUCUUUUCUCACUGGACCCGCGACGUGAUCCUGUGAGGUGGGAUCAGAUGCGAUCAACCACUUUACAGGUGGGAAGACUGAGGCUCCAGAAGUUCAGAGAAUUCUACUCAGCCUGGGGAUUUGGGGGGUGGCGGGUCUGAACCUGCUCCUCCCUCUUCUCAAUACCCCAUAAAGUCUCCUGGCAAACCCGAGAUCCAAGGCCAGGACGCAAAAGCCUAAUCAUUUCUAAAGGGGCUUGGCGUUCCUGUGUGGCUCAGCAGAUUAAGAACCCAAAUACUGUCCAUGAGGGAUGCAGGUUCGAUCCCUGGCCUCGCUCCUUGGCUUCAGGAUCCAGUGUUGCCGCAGCUGCAGCUCGGAUCCCACGUUGCUGUGGCUGUGGUGUAGGCUGGCAGCCGCAGCUCCUCUUUGACCCCUAGCCCAGGAACCUCUAUAUGCUGCAGGCGUAGCCCUCAAAAGAGGUUUUAAAAAGAAAAAAAA